AUGGUCAGAUUUAAUUUCAUGACCAAUUUAUGCAGAAAUACAGGUAAUUCCAAAGGGUUCACAUACUUAUUCUUGCCACUGUAUGUGAGAAUGCUAUUCAUUGACUACAGCUCAGCGUUCAACACCAUAGUGCCCUCAAAGCUCAUCACUAAGCUAAGGACCCUGGGACUAAACACAUCCUUCUGCAACUGGAUCAAGGACUUCCUGACGGGCCGCCCCCCAUGUGGUAAGGGUAGGCAACAACAUAUCUGCCACGUCAAUACAGGCAACAACAUCCCUGCCACGCUGAUCCUCAACACUGGGGCCCCUCAGGAUUGUGUACUUAGUCCCCACCUGUACUCCCUGUUCACCCACGACUGUGUGGAAAGCACGACUCCAACACCAUUUAAGUUUGCUGACGACACAACAGUGGUAGGCCUGAUCACCAACAACGAUGAUACAGCCUAUAGGGAGGAGGUCAGAGAUCUGGCCGAGUGGUGCCAGAAUAACAACCUUUCCCUCAACGUAACCAAGACAAAGGAGAUGAUUGUGGACUACAGGAAAAGGAGCACCAAGCACGCUCCUAUUCUCAUCGACGGGGCUGUAGUGGAGCAGGUUGAGAGCUUCAAGUUCCUUGGUGUCCACAUCAUCAGUAAACUAUCAUGGUCCAAACACACUAAGACCGUCGUGAAGAGGGCACAACAACACCUUUUCUCCCUCAGGAGACUGAAAAGAUUUGGUAUGGUUCCCCAGAUCCUCAAUAACUUCUACAGCUGCACCAUCGAGAGCAUCCUGACCGGUUGCAUCACUGCCUGGUAUAGCAACUGCUUGGCAUCCAAUCGUAUGGCACUACAGAGGGUAGUGUGUAUGGCCCAGUACAUCACUGGGUCAAAGCUUCCUGCCAUCCAGGACCUACAGUGCCUUCGGAAAGUAUUCAGACCACUUGACUUUUUCCACAUUUUGUUCAGUUACAGCCUUAUUCUAAAAUUGAUUAAAUUAAACACUGUCCUCAUCAAUCUACACACAACACACCAUAAUGACAAAACUGUUUUUUAG
rnacentral:lncRNA from 8 species